UCUCUUGAGAGGAGAAGGAGUGGUGUUGCCGUCCCUGCUUUUUUUACUUUCAGGUCUUCUUUUAGCAAUCCCACAAGUUUCUCUCCGUAAACUCGAGCUCUGAAACGCUCCCAUGCUAGUUGAAUCGUUUGCGAGCGGUGCAUUCAGGUAGAUCGAUGCUCGCUGAUGUUUCUUUUUAAGUGCUACUGUUUCUCUCAGAAGAGCACAGUUCUUCUAGUUCUGAGUGGGUCUCUAUCUCCUCUGUGCAGACACUGUUGCAAAUAGCUCUGCUGCAAAUGCGCAGUGUUGUUUGCAUGUAGGAGGAGGCAGGAGUUACACUUUGGCCUUGAGGGUGAGAAACUCUGCAUACACCAUCAAGACAGAGGAGAUGUUUUCUCGGUAGAUUACCAAGAAGUUGUCAUACUUGGGUGGGUAGAUUGUCGCAUUGUGUGUCAAACGGAGUGUUGUGCAGUGAAAUGUCAUCUGAAAGCUGACUUAUUGUCCCCCUAGAGAAAACUGCAGAGACGUUAUGUACAUUACAUUCUUCUGUACAGCGAUCUAUGCCUCUUAUCUCAACAGAGAAGACUUAAGUGGAUAGCUUUGCACCUGUAAUCCAUAAUGCAUCACUUAAUUCAUAGUUUUUCUAAAGCUUAACGUCAUGUUGUAGGCUGGGAGAUCAGAGGAAAUGGAACUAAAGUGAUUACCGGAGAUUACUUGGGUGUAUACAGCUAAUGCAUGUUUCUGUACCAAACAGACACAUGGACAAGCUCCGUUAGCUGCUAUUAGGCCAGGAAAUGAAUGAAGCAGGUGAGCAGUGGAGCCACAACAACGGUAAUGAUGGUUAUUUUUCCAUAAAUUAGGUUAAUCUAUUGAAAAGGAGAAGGAAAGCAGGAACAUCAGCAGGCAGACUGACGCUCUCCGUGCCUCCGGGGCUGGUGGCUGUCUGUCUGUAUUUGAUGUUGCUGAUGGGAUUGGGUGGAGUUCAGGGCCUUCCUUCACCCCUCUGGUUCCCUGCAGUACAGACUGACAGCUAUAAAACCAUUAAGUCGUCUUUAGUUAAUCAGUUUUGAGUUAUUAACUUCUGCAGACAUGAUUCAGAGGUGCAACAUAUGAUUUGAGCAGCUUUUCGUUCCUGCUUCAGGUCCAUUAAGUGGACUCGACAUUGUGUGAAAUUCUGUCCAACCUUGAUCUGAUUUAAGAGCCUAAAUCCCACUCUUGAAAGUCACAUCUGUGGGCUGCCAGCGCGUUAACACAUUAGAGAGUAUAAUCUAGGAAAGUAAUGUGCUGCUAUCGUAAUCGUUUAAAGACAGAUAAUCUGAAGGCUUUUGGAGAUUGGUCUUCACUCAGCGGGACACAGGAUACACAGGACUCGUCUCGGCACCUCAUUAAAAUUUAAAAAAUCAGGAUGCUGACAGUGAACAUCUGCUGAUUUAUGUGCAUCCCCAAACGUGUAUCACUAUCAGGGGCGGGUUCAUUGAUUCCUGUGAAUGACUUCUUUUGUCAAAAUUUUUUUCUAUGCUGCCUGAGAAGCAGCUGCACUCAUCCCAAACUAUCAUCCUUGCUCCUUAAUCACAAACAAUGCAUUCUUAAUCUGUGCUUUGGAUUCACACUGUCUCCUCACCACCCUGAGGAUUUCUUGGUGCACUCCUAUUUAUGCUAGCUGGCUGGCUGGCUGGCUGGCUGGCUGGCUGGUUGGCUGCCUCGGUAACUAUGGUAACAGUAUCCCCCAGAAAGUUAAAGGAGACCUAGGCCUUGCUCGGCUAAUUGUGAGCAAGUGAAGCAUGUCAGCAAAGUUCACUACAGUCCCAGUCUGGAUGACGGCCUGCAAACAAGAUUUCUCCCUUUUUUGGGGGGUUUGUGCUUAUGUGCAGUUUACGUCACAAUAGAAGUGAUUAGCUCUCUGCUUUUGUUUCUCAGCAGAGCAGAGAAUUGUCUAGUUGUCUGACCUACAUACAGUUAGAUGUCAAACAAAAGAAUGUGCUUAUGAUUAAAAACGUUUACAAACUUUGGGUCAAAUCCCCGUCACAAGAUGUAUUAUAUGAUAUAGGAUGUCUUUAACGCCUAUGUUUUAUUAAUACUAAUCUGCUUGCUUAUAUAUCAUUGUUUAAAGAUCCUGUUGGGAGUUUUUAGCCAGUCAUGCAACAGACUCAAAUAAAUGUUCAUGUCUGUGUGUUUAUUAGAAAAGCAAACUGCACCAUCACUCAGUGCAUUUACAUGCACAGUUUAAUCGGACUAAGCUCAUAAUUUGUUUUUUUUUUCGCUGAAUUGGACGUGUACGUGUCCUACUCCCCAAAACUAGGGGGCGAUGGUGGCAGCGUGGUUUCCUGACCUUUUUAAAAGAUGUCUCUGUUCCUCGUUUUGCGACUGUCUAUAUGCUUUAAAAUGUCCAUUUCUGUCAGGAUGGAAAGCAUUCCGGCACUCUCCUCGUCGUUCCAAAAGUGGACAUUCUUUCGUGCUUCAGCCAUGUUGCAGUUGCCUCUGAGACGGAAGUUCUUUAAAAGAUGGUGCCACUUUUUCUCUGGUGUUUUUGUUCCGGGGUUACGGAGGCAUGGCGCACUAAGGUGUUUACAUGCACUUAAGCUGUCCGGUCUUAAUCGGAGUAAGGCAAUAAUUCUGUUUUCUCAAGUGUCAUGUAAACAUACUGAGUAAAGAGCCUUAUGAGUUUUUCUCAUUGUUUAUUUGCCUUUUGUUUUCCAAAAGGCUGUACUGUAUCACUAACACUGAGUAGGCGUCAGAUAAAAACGGUGCAGAAAUGCCUUUUAUCACAUUUACUAUGAGACAGUCCCAGAGUUAAUGAUAGGAUUUUUCCUUACAAACCUGCAGGAGUACAUGCUUGAUGCUCUCACCAGCUCUUCUGCUGUUGCCUGGAUUGCAGGACAGGAUGUUGCUCCACUGGUAGCUCUGCACUUGUGCCUUGUCACUGAUAAUAUAUCUUACUCCCAAGUUCUGUUGGAUGAAAACCAAUGUUAUUGCCACAUUGUCAACAGGCAGAGCUGAAAUGUUCCUGACUUCUUUCUCAUAUUGAUUUAUGUGGCAUGUACCAUCAAGUCGACCCCACUUUGGAACAAAUUACUGUCACAAGGU
rnacentral:lncRNA from 1 species